ACCAAAUGGUGGCGUAUAUCGCAAUCGGACCGCCUGAAGAAUGGCCAGCGAAUAUUAUUGGCUUACUGUCCCUCGUUGCCUUGUCCAUCUGGAAACGAAAGACAAAUCCCGAGAAAUUGAACUUAACCAUAUCGUUGGCGAUGUGAUAUAUACAUCAACCGCUAUGUGAUGAAAAAGUAAUGGCAUCUGAAGAAACUGGAAAUGAAUUCAAGAUUCAAGAGUACCUCGCUGCGGAGCGCUGACUUCUCCAUAAUCUGUAGGAAUUGGUUCAUGGAGGCCUCGUUGACCUUAGCGGUUAUGUCAUUGCCGAUGCUCCUGAGAGAAGGGAACGAGUUGAGGUUGACCUCGGUCUCCCCGAAAGCUUUGGCUGUGCCAUCUCGGGUGGACCACGCAUCGGAAGUCCAAGCCCCGGAGAAGGCGAUGACGACCUGCGAGGGGCUGCCGCGAAUCUUGUCGACGAGGAAGGGCUUCUCCGCUGGAGCCUGGUGAGCUCUGAUGGAGAUGGAGCAAGCUUUCUUGAUCACCUCAUCUUUGAUGCCCAGUUCUCGCCCACAGCUUCCCGUGUCGAUGUCCAUGACUUCUUCCUACUCUGCUGCUGCUGCUGCUCCUAUCUGGAUGUUUGAUCUAACUUCUCGACGGGUUCAGCCGGGGGGAGGACGGGGGAGAUAUAGGGGAUGAGAUAUUACGAAACUGUCCCUUCAGCGGCUGGUCAAGGAAACUUCGUCUCGGGCUUUUCCGUCAUUGCACCUAUGUUGACUUCCUGUUGGCAUUGCUUUUGGGUUGGGGUCUUCGUCGUCGUGCCCGUGCUUGGAAAUAGCCCCUCGUUUUGGGGGUUUGGUAUAAGACAAAGCAUACCUGCUUUUAUAGCUUUUUUCAAUUGGCAAAUGCGCCUUUGUUGUCUUAAAAUUAUCUGCAAAAAGGAAUGAAUGGAAUCAUUUCUCAUC